CCUACGGGUGGCAGCAGUGGGGAAUAUUGGACAAUGGGCGAAAGCCUGAUCCAGCCAUGCCGCGUGUGUGAAGAAGGCCUUCGGGUUGUAAAGCACUUUCAGUGGGGAAGAAAGCCUUGGGGCUAAUACCCUCGAGGAAGGACAUCACCCACAGAAGAAGCACCGGCUAACUCCGUGCCAGCAGCCGCAGUAAUACGGAGGGUGCGAGCGUUAAUCGGAAUUAUUGGGCGUAAAGCGCGCGUAGGCGGUCUGAUAAGCCGGUUGUGAAAGCCCCGGGCUCAACCUGGGAACGGCAUCCGGAACUGUCAGGCUAGAGUGCAGGAGAGGAAGGUAGAAUUCCCGGUGUAGCGGUGAAAUGCGUAGAGAUCGGGAGGAAUACCAGUGGCGAAGGCGGCCUUCUGGACUGACACUGACGCUGAGGUGCGAAAGCGUGGGUAGCAAACAGGAUUAGAUACCCCUGAGUC
rnacentral:rRNA from 1 species